AAGCACAAAGCUGCUGAGGCCAUUGACUCCAAUAUGCAGGCUGCAAAGGAAAAAUCUCGCCAUCUGAAGGAUGAAGUUGCUGCUACUCGUGACGAGGAGCUCUGAUCUGAUGAGAGAGAUCAAUCACAACACGAGAACCAUGCCAUUGCCACUUGUGGAAUGCCACCACCGAGUCGUUCUAUUCCACUACGUAAUUAUGUAUAAUAAAUACUCGGUCGUCUGUCAGUGUCAGCAGCCACUACUCCUCGUAACGAAAUACCAGACUGAUGG
rnacentral:lncRNA from 1 species